rnacentral:rRNA from 1 species
UGCGUAGGCGGAUUGAUAAGUCAGAGGUGAAAUCCCACAGCUCAACUGUGGAACUGCCUUUGAUACUGGUUGUCUUGAGUUACAGUGAAGUAGAUAGAAUAUGUAGUGUAGCGGUGAAAUGCAUAGAUAUUACAUAGAAUACCGAUUGCGAAGGCAGUCUACUAACUGUAUACUGACGCUAAUGGACGAAAGCGUGGGGAGCGAACAGGAUUAGAUACCCUGGUAGUCC